rnacentral:lncRNA from 1 species
AAAGGAAAACAAGUGGCUUUUGGUUCAGAGUCGAUGUUACAUCCUGUGUUUGUUUCUUUUAUUUCCUCGAUUUUCUUUUCUUAUUAUUUCUUUCUUCAUCGAAUGCUCUUUUCCGUGCUUCUUUUUGAAUCUUCGAGUUUUCAUUUUUCUCUUUUUUAUUUUUCUUUCUCUCGAUUCAUCAAUUUUUUUCUUUUUCUUUUGUUUUUG